rnacentral:rRNA from 1 species
AGCAGCCGCGGUAAUUCCAGCUCCAAUAGCGUAUAUUAAAGUUGCUGCAGUUAAAAAGCUCGUAGUUGAAUUUCGGGACCAAUAUGUCGGUCGUGCCUCGGUACGUACUGGCAUCGUUGGUUUCUCCCUUCUGACGAACCAUGAUGUCAUUUAUUUGGUGUCGUGGGGAAUCAGGACUGUUACUUUGAAAAAAUUAGAGUGUUUAAAGCAGGCUCACGCUUGAAUACAUUAGCAUGGAAUAAUGAAAUAGGACGUUUGAUUCUAUUUUGUUGGUUUCUAGGAUCGACGUAAUGAUUAAUAGGGAUAGUUGGGGGCAUUAGUAUUCAAUUGUCAGAGGUGAAAUUCUUGGAUUUAUUGAAGACUAACUACUGCGAAAGCAUUUGCCAAGGAUGUUUUCAUUAAUCAAGAACGAAAGUUAGGGGAUCGAAGACGAUCAGAUACCGUCGUAGUCUUAACCAUAAACUAUGCCG